rnacentral:lncRNA from 1 species
CUACCCGUGAUGCCUUGUUGACAACUGCUUUGGCAUUUCUCACUACUUUCUUGGCCAAAGGCAGAGCGCAUUCAUCAAAUUUAUAUGUCGCUUCAUCCAUCAGAUAUAAUGAACACUAGUAUUUAAACCAAGGAAAUAAACAACGAGACUUAUAUAUUAAGUGUGCCAAUGAAACAAACACAUAGAAUUAGAAGUAUACUACCAAAACAACUUGGCAGCCCAUAGAAAAGGGCAGCAAUGAAAUAGACAUAGGUGAAACACAGGUCUGAAAUAAUCAAAUCAUAACAAACACAUUUAUAACAAACAGACACGCCAUAAAACCUAAUUAGAACUGAACUAUAAAUCAAUUACAAGAGAUGCAUUUCAAUACGCUCAAGGCAUUUGAGCUAGAAGGAAUUAUAUCUAUAUUAGAACUGAUUUUUUGCAGUGAAGUUCCUCACCCAAACUAAGUGUCUCAAGCUUCAGUUUUGUUAUCAUAAAAGAACAAACUCACGUUGUUGUAGAGAAGGUCUUGUUAUAAUAAAGAAAAUUCUAUGACCCCUAUAUGUUGUGUAGUUCUUUCUUUUGAGAUUUAUUAUAUACAUGGCAUGCAAAUGCAAGAAAACAAACAAACAAAAAACCAGCUCAUAACAUGUCAACAACUUACUCGGGAUAGAAUUUGAGUUUAUGAACCCAACCGUGUAGACUGCGGAGUCCAAUAACGCAAUCAUAAAUUCGUAUAUUGUACAAAAGUUAAGAUUUAUUCCUUUAAUUCAAGAUUAUUCCCAAAAUUUCAAAAAUAAAAAAAGAAAGAUAUAAAGAAAAUUGAAGAAUUUAUACUUUUGUAGUUAGAGCAUUCAACCUGAAACAAAUCUGCUAAUCUCCAAUCAAAAAGGAAUAAUUCAUUGAAUCAAAUAUACGACCCACUCUAUAUACAAUUCCAGGAUCAAAGAGAAAUUCAGAAACAAAAUUCUAGACAAAUCAAAACUGUAAAACAAUCAAUACAUAUUACCAAAACAAAAAUCAUAAGACAUUUAAAAAAAAAAAAAA